ACUCAACAUUAACAUUUCACAAAAGGGUGAGUUACAGUAGCUAAAGCGCGCCGGUCUUUUCAGUUGCCGGAUACUUGACCUACUGAGUAUCCCUAAACCUGUUUUUCAGAGUUU
rnacentral:sRNA from 1 species